rnacentral:tRNA from 1 species
UGGGGUGUCGUCAAGCGGUAAGACACAAGGUUUUGAUCCUUGCAUUCGGGGGUUCGAAUCCUCCCGCCCCAG